UCUUUCAGCGAAAACUCAGGGUGUGAUGGA
rnacentral:piRNA from 1 species